GAAAACAUUGGCAGCAGUAAAGAAUUUUAUGCAAUAUACGAAAGUAAGACAUAGGUAGGACAUUUUAACCUGUCAAAUUAAGUGCCAGCAGACGCGGUGAAACUUAAGGGUUUGUUUUUUAGAAAAAGCAGAAAGCGUGUAAAGGUAAAACAUUUAAAAUAAAUAGAAUUUUUUUAGUAAUAGUGAAAUGUUAAAAUGAGAAAAAGAAUUCUUUAUGUGAAAACAAUUUAUUUUUUUCUUGAACACGAAGGUUCUGGGAGCAAACAGGAUUAGAGACCCUGGUAGUCGAUACAGUAAAAGAAAGUCGCUUGAGUAGUACGGUCGCAAGAUUAAAAUUCAAAAAACUUGGCUGUUCAUUGUUAUUUAGAGGAGCGUGUCGCUUAAUUCGACAAUCCGCGAAUUACCUUACCAAGACUUGGUUGUCAGGUGUUGCAUGGCCGUCGUCAAUUUAUGUUUGAUACAAUAAAUUAAACCCUAGAAAGGUUGAAGUCAGGUAUUAUUGCCCUUAUGUCUUGGGGUUAGAUGCGCUACA
rnacentral:rRNA from 1 species